rnacentral:rRNA from 1 species
GAUGAACGCUGGCGGCGUGCCUAAUACAUGCAAGUCGAGCGAACGGACGAGAAGCUUGCUUCUCUGAUGUUAGCGGCGGACGGGUGAGUACCACGUGGAUAACCUACCUCUACGACUGGGAUACCUUCGGGAAACCGGAGCUAAUACCGGAUAAUAUUUUGAACCGCAUGGUUCAAAAGUGAAAGACGGUCUUGCUGUCACUUAUAGAUGGAUCCGCGCUGCAUUAGCUAGUUGGUAAGGUAACGGCUUACCAAGGCAACGAUGCAUAGCCGACCUGAGCGGGUGAUCGGCCACACGGGAUCUGAGACACGGUCCAGACUCCUACGGGAGGCAGCAGUAGGGAAUCUUCCGCAAUGGGCGAAAGCCUGACGGAGCAACGCCGCGUGAGUGAUGAAGGUCUUCGGAUCGUAAAACUCUGUUAGUAGGGAAGAACAUAUGUGUAAGUAACUGUGCACAUCUUGACGGUACCGAAUCAGAAAGCCACGGCUAACUACGUG